GAUGAACGCUGGCGGCGUGCCUAAUACAUGCAAGUCGAGCGAGCGGCGGACGGGUGAGUAAUGUCUGGGAAACUGCCUGAUGGAGGGGGAUAACUACUGGAAACGGUAGCUAAUACCGCAUACCAUCAGAUGUGCCCAGAUGGGAUUAGCUAGUAGGUGGGGUAACGGCUCACCUAGGCGACGAUCCCUAGCUGGUCUGAGAGGAUGACCAGCCAAAACGGGAACUGGAACAGGGCCAGAAUCCUACGGGGGGGAACAGGGGGGAAUAUUGCACAAUGGGCGCAAGCCUGAUGCAGCCAUGCCGCGUGUAUGAAGAAGGCCUUCGGGUUGUAAAGUACUUUCAGCGGGGAGGCGUUACCCGCAGAAGAAGCACCGGCUAACUCCGUGCCAGCAGCCGCGGUAAUAC
rnacentral:rRNA from 1 species